UAGGUAGAGGUUUCAGAGGAGUAUUUUGGAGUCAGUGGUGCAGGCAGUACAGACGGGUUGGGUCCAUCCAAAUACUUUAAUUGAAAAUUAACCUCAAUUUUACAUCUUCAAUUUCACUUGAAAACCUCGAGGACAUUGAGAAAG